rnacentral:rRNA from 1 species
ACUCCUACGGGAGGCAGCAGUGGGAAUAUUGCACAAUGGGCGCAAGCCUGAUGCAGCCAUGCCGCGUGUGUGAAGAAGGCCUUCGGGUUGUAAAGCACUUUCAGUUGUGAGGAAGGUGGUGUCGUUAAUAGCGGCAUUAUUUGACGUUAGCAACAGAAGAAGCACCGGCUAACUCCGUGCCAGCAGCCGCGGUAAUACGGAGGGUGCGAGCGUUAAUCGGAAUUACUGGGCGUAAAGCGCAUGCAGGUGGUUUGUUAAGUCAGAUGUGAAAGCCGGC